rnacentral:rRNA from 1 species
UACAGAGGUCCCAAGCGUUGUUCGGAUUCACUGGGCGUAAAGGGUGCGUAGGCGGCGAGGUAAGUCUGACGUGAAAUCUCCGGGCCUAACCCGGAAACUGCGUUGGAUACUAUCUCGCUCGAGGAAUGGAGGGGAGACUGGAAUACUUGGUGUAGCAGUGAAAUGCGUAGAUAUCAAGUGGAACACCAGUGGCGAAGGCGAGUCUCUGGACAUUUCCUGACGCUGAGGCACGAAAGCCAGGGGAGCAAAC